GAUGAACGCUGGCGGCGUGCCUAACACAUGCAAGUCGAACGGAGUUCUUAAGGAAUGCGACUUCGGUCAAAUGACUUUUGAACUUAGCGGCGGACGGGUGAGUAACACGUGGGUAACCUGCCUCAUAGUGGGGAAUAGCCUUUCGAAAGGAAGAUUAAUACCGCAUAAGAUUGUAGCUUCGCAUGAAGUAGCAAUUAAAGGAUUUAUUCGCUAUGAGAUGGACCCGCGGCGCAUUAGCUAGUUGGUGAGGUAACGGCCCACCAAGGCGAUGAUGCGUAGCCGACCUGAGAGGGUGAUCGGCCACAUUGGGACUGAGACACGGCCCAGACUCCUACGGGAGGCAGCAGUGGGGAAUAUUGCACAAUGGGGGAAACCCUGAUGCAGCAACGCCGCGUGAGUGAUGACGGCC
rnacentral:rRNA from 1 species